ACCAGGAUGGCCGAGUGGUUAAGGUGUUGGACUUAAGAUCCAAUGGGCCAAAACCCUCGUCGGUUUGAAUCCAACUCCUGGCA